rnacentral:lncRNA from 1 species
AUCGCCAGGAAGACAGGACACAUUCUGCCGGUGUCCUCAAUAAGAUAAGUUUAUAAAGUAUAUAGAUUAAUAGUUACUGGUGAUACUUAAGACACAGCUAGCAAAUAAGAAAUCUUAGUCAUUGGCCAGCAGCAUUGCACCUAAUAUAAGACUCCGUGUUAACCCAUGGUGGUGGCAGUUCUUGGGCAGCUUGGUGGAAAGAUUUAUCGUUACACUAUAUGACCAAAUUAAACUAGUAAUGGGUCUACUUAUCUACAGGCCCCACCUCCAGGACUCCUCACAUUGUGGCUCUGCAUCAGGCUUCCCUUCCCACCCUCCCAGAGUUCCUUCAAGAAACACCUAAGAGUUCCUCAAGAGGGAAUUUCUGUGCAGAGUCCAAGCACACAUAAGUAUGCCUUCCAGCCCCCAUGCCCCUCCCCAAACUCUUGGGCAGUUACUGCUGCAGAAGACUAAGGGAAGGCCAGCACUCUCCAAUUCUGAAGGUCAUAGUGCCUGCAUGCAGAGUCAGAGGAGAACAAACAAUGGGGACAGAGUAAAGGUUCUAGAAAGGACCUGUGAGAAAUAAAGACAGAUGUUGAGACAGAGUCAAAGAGCAGCACAAAACUCACAUAAAACACAAAGAAGAACUGCACAAAGAAUGGACAUGUGGCUGUUCAUCAUAAAGGUCCUUGUGAAGCUUUUGAGUCUGGAUUCAGUUCUGUGAAUUGUUCUUUGUGAC